CAGGUUUCACAUCUCCGUGCACAUACCUGCAGAACAACAGCACCAGUAUGACAAGAUUAUUUCAGGUCUGUCAAAGGAAUUCUCGUACAGAACAACCACAAAACAAUAAGUUCAGUUUUCCACAGCCAAAUCCCAUAUUCUAUCCACAAACCAGAAACAGUACAGAACAACCACAAAACAAUAGGUUCACUUUUCCAUAACAACAACAACAACAAUAACGAUCCAGUAUAAUCCCACAAGUGGGGUAUGGGGAGGGUAGUGUGUACGCAGACCUUUUCCACAGCCAAACCCCAUAUUCUAUCCACAAACCAGAGACUAACAGACACAAGAUGUUGUGUGUUUGUACUUUCGUUGGAAGAUAGAUAGGUGGUUGAGGAUAUGUUCCCACAAUGAGGCAACCAAGGGUGUUGCCUAGUGGACAUUGAAGUGAGUUAAGAACCAUGAUAUCUCAGGUUCAAUUCCUAGCGGAGAAACAAACACUACGUGAUUUCUUUUCAUCAGUCCAAGCCUUAGCUUAGUGGACAGAGUUACUUGGUAAUUGUUGCUGGUGGGAGGUAGCAGGUAUCCCAUGGAUUUAGUCGAGGUGCGCACAAGCUAGCCCGGACACCAUGGUUAUAAAACAAAAUGAAUGUACACCAUAUCAUCAUAACCCAGAAUACAUAAUUUCUGCCUAAGCU
rnacentral:lncRNA from 1 species